AACGAACGCUGGCGGCAUGCCUAACACAUGCAAGUCGAACGAGACCUUCGGGUCUAGUGGCGCACGGGUGCGUAACGCGUGGGAACCUGCCCUUAGGUUCGGAAUAACUCCCCGAAAGGGGUGCUAAUACCGGAUAAUGUCUUCGGACCAAAGAUUUAUCGCCUUUGGAUGGGCCCGCGUUGGAUUAGCUAGUUGGUAGGGUAAAAGCCUACCAAGGCGACGAUCCAUAGCUGGUCUGAGAGGAUGAUCAGCCACACUGGGACUGAGACACGGCCCAGACUGCUACGGGAGGCAGCAGUGGGGAAUAUUGGACGAUGGGCGAAAGCCUGAUCCAGCAAUGCCGCGUGAGUGAUGAAGGCCUUAGGGUUGUAAAGCUCUUUUACCCGGGAUGAUAAUGACAGUACCGGGAGAAUAAGCUCCGGCUAACUCCGUG
rnacentral:rRNA from 1 species